rnacentral:rRNA from 1 species
GCAAGUCGAGCGAGGACUUCGGUCCUAGCGGCGGACGGGUGAGUAACGCGUGGGUAAUCUGCCUCAUACACACGGAUAACGUACCGAAAGGUACGCUAAUACGAGAUAAAGUUAAGAAAUGGCAUCAUUUCUUAAUCAAAGAAUUUCGGUAUGAGAUGAGCCCGCGUCCCAUUAGCUAGUUGGUAAGGUAAAAGCUUACCAAGGCGACGAUGGGUAGCCGACCUGAGAGGGUGAUCGGCCACACUGGAACUGAGACACGGUCCAGACUCCUACGGGAGGCAGCAGUGGGGAAUAUUGCACAAUGGGCGAAAGCCUGAUGCAGCAACGCCGCGUGAGCGAUGAAGGUCUUCGGAUCGUAAAGCUCUGUCCUCAAGGAAGAAUUUUGACGGUACUUGAGGAGGAAGCCCCGGCUAACUACGUGCCAGCAGCCGCGGUAAUACGUAGGGGGCUAGCGUUAUCCGGAAUUAUUGGGCGUAAAGGGUGCGUAGGCGGUCCUACAAGUCAGAGGUGAAAGGCUACGGCUCAACCGUAGUAAGCCUUUGAAACUGUAGGACUUGAGUGCAGGAGAGGAGAGUGGAAUUCCCAGUGUAGCGGUGAAAUGCGUA